AUGAAUGUUAACAAAAUUGAAAGAUUCAGAUUCAUCCUGAAAAGUUUUAUUUCCGACCAGUUGCGUAAUAAGGAUUUUGGCCAAAUGGGGUCCUCCAUACUGAAAAGAAAAUACUAAACCAAAAAAGUAAAUAUUAAAAAUUCCACCAUUCUUCAUAUUUUAAUUAUUUUCAUCUCUUAUUUGAUCGUUUACGAGUUUUAACUUAAUUCAAGUUGGGUCCAGGGUUCGAAUGUAUAUUGCAAACGAGGUCCCUCAACUUCAACGGCGAGACGAGUGUAGAUCUGGCCAAGGAAGAACAAAAAGGUCAAAAACGAACAAUGUGGAUGGUAUAUAGUUCAAGAAACAAGACAAUGAUACAGUUUCGGAUAUAAUGAGUACCCGUUUCCCACCCCGAACAUAUUUACGAGUACCGGUACUACCCGGGACACCGAAAAUCGAGCUGGGUUCAAAAUCCCCACGUUUGUUUGUUUGUUUGCACGGAAGACCUAGCCUCUCUGAAUGAACACCCCAUGUCACCUAAUACCUGCCUGCUGUUAUUGUAGAAACAGACAAAACCUAACUUUGAACACAAGUAAGGUUUUGUUUGACCCCAUGUUGAAAACGUUUUAUUUUGGUUUCAUAUACGACUUACAAAACUACGUACGUACCAUUUGGAUUGAGCUCAGUGAUGUUUGCUGCAAAGGGGGGGUGGUCGUGGUGGCUGCUGAGUCCAUGCCGACAUCAAAUCGAUUCUUUAAUUCCAUUCGUCUAUUAGCUGCUGAUGGCUUGAUGCUUCCUUCUUAUGCCAACUGGGUGCCAUUUGUUUUCCUGCAUUGAUGACGUUUUCUUCUGCAUCUUAUCUCAAAAGCUUUGUUUGAAACAGCCUCGAGCAUCUUCUGAUCAUUCUAUCUGUAAAAGGAGAAUAUGAAUUAUUAUUGAAUGAAUAGUAUGUGGUUCUCUUAUGAGGGCUUUAUUUUGAGUUUAUUAGGGCUUUAUUUUGAAUUUAUUAAAACUUUAUUUUGAAUUUAUGAUGACCUUAUUUUAAGCUCACAUAUUACUUUUUAUGGGUCGUGUGAUAUUUUCCAUUCUUCAAUAGACAUGACUUAAACUAUCUCACGCUUUCAUUUUGCUUAUACGUUUCCUAUAACAAAAGAAAAGUUUUAUCUAUCUCCAUUUAGUCUUUAAAACUUUCCACAAUAUAAUUCUAAUAUCAUUAAAACAACAAACAUGAAACUGAAAAAUGAAAAGCUCGCGAGCAAAUUUGAAGAUUAGCAUUUCAUCCGGUCAUAUUCACAAAUAGAUAAACCAAUUCUAGUAUGUCUACAACAGCAUACUUGGAAGCCAAGCCUUUUUCGAAAAAAAACUUAUUCGUGACUCGACUCGAUUUUAAAUGAACCAACUUGAAUAUUAGCUCGAGUAUACUUUAACUUAAUAGACUUAAUGAUGUGUACGUGCUAAUGAGGAACAUUGUUUAGGUUAGUAAUAACUUGUAAAAUUUAGGACAGCUUUGUUUUUUAGCUUGUCUCGUCAACAUUUUCUAGUGGUACAAGCUUCAAAUGGAGCUCAAAUUGGGUUCAUGAGGGGGUUUCAAUGACCGAAAUUCGAAUUGAACUCAAGUUUGGCUCGUCAAGCCUAAUUGACGAGCUAGGCUCGAGUUCGACUCAGCUCAAUCAAGCCACAAUUUCAGACGGUAACUGGAAAGCGGAAUUUUAACAAUUAGAAAACAUCUUACCACAAUUGCCACCAUAGUUGAGCUCGGCCUUACCUCAAUCCGGAAACUGAUGUUCGAAACUUAGGUGCCUCCUGUACAAAUGUACAUGAUUCAAGCUCUAAACUUGAUCCUCAAAUGGCACCAACUCUUCCAACAGAGGAAAUCCCAAUUGCACAGAUCCCAAUAUACUCCACUAGGUGUUACACGCCUGUGAUCAUAAACCAGUACACAGGUGUUCCCUAACGAAUCUGGAUUUGGUAAGUAGUU
rnacentral:lncRNA from 1 species